UGUGGCCGCUCAAGUGCGCAGCUUACAGGGAACACGGGUCCACACCCCACACACUAUUGUGAUAAUCUUUGUACAAAGUAUGCUUUGUGAGGUAUCAUUUGAACACUCAUAAUUUGCUGGUCAUUAUUAUCCUAAUAAAAUAUGUGUGGCAACAUUGUAUAUGAAGUUAUAAGAUUCCACUGAAUUGUGUUAUUAACACACGUUCCAAAUUGAGGUUGACAAAGAGGUCUGUCUAAAAGAAAGGAGGCUGGAAGGUGGAGGAAUCUUGUACAAAUACCUUGGAAACCUCCCAUAUCUACUGGAGGAGCAAGAGGUGCUGGUACCGUGGUCUCUGUGUAUGCUCUGUUUAAUUUGAAUGUAAGCAGUAAACAGAGUCAUCACGUAGGAAGGCAAACAAACAUAGGACAUUUAAACAGGUAAGGAAAACGCAGCAGGGAACAUCCUUCUAUAUAGACUCUGUCUCCUGAAUCUCAGAUGGAAGUAUUUUUCAAGAGGGGAACUGACACUAUAAAAAGGAGGUACUAACAAACAAAGACACCCCCUUCUCUCUCCCUGCCCAUAGUGUUCACGGCCCCCAAAGUGACAAAAGAAGCAUUUGUUGAACCUUCGGAGAAGGGGUCCUGACCUAAGAAGACUGGUCAGUCAGACUGCUGAAAGCAUAUGGCCUAGGCUGAGACAGGUGGAGCAAACCAGAUUGAGGCUUCUUUGCACCCAGCCAGUCGUUGAGAUACGGGAACAGGUGGACCUCACGCUGCCUGAGUACCCUGGCAGGGCUGCCAAGGUCUUGGCGGUGGCUGGAAGGGCUUUCAAGCAGGCUGUGGCAUAGGUAUGCCCAACAAACGAAGGGUGGCAUUCUUCACCCCAUGCAGCCUGGCAUCUGUCUGCUUGGAGAAGAGACCAACCCCAUCGAAUGGGUGGUCUUGGAUUGAAUUGUGAAUCUCCUGCGAGAAGCCUCCUGUUUGUAGCCACAAGUUACGCCCCAUCACCACCGUCAACAUGAUUACCCAAGCCGCAGAGUCUGCUGCAUCCCAGGCCAUUUGUAGGGAGCACCUGGCUGCCGCCGUGCCUUCCUCCACCAGGGUGCCGAACUCUUGGACUAACCCUCGUGGGAGGGACUCCUGGAACUUACAGAGAGUAUCCCACAAAUUAAGUUGUACCUAUUCAG